AUCGCCGGGUUUCUUCAUCUCGCAUAAAUCUUUCGCCAGCUUUACUAAAGAUUUCCGCGUGGAGGGGAACUGCCCCGAAGCUUACGGUAUUUUUGGAAGCUCUGCUUCGGCGCGAGCU